rnacentral:rRNA from 1 species
GACGAACGCUGGCGGCGUGCUUAACACAUGCAAGUCGAACGAAGAGCGAUGGACGCUUGCUUCUCUCAAUCUUAGUGGCGAACGGGUGAGUAACGCGUAAUCAACCUGCCCUUCAGAGGGGGACAACAGUUGGAAACGACUGCUAAUACCGCAUACGAUCUGACCUCGGCAUCGAGGAUAGAUGAAAGGUGGCCUCUACAUGUAAGCUAUCACUGAAGGAGGGGAUUGCGUCUGAUUAGCUAGUUGGAGGGGUAACGGCCCACCAAGGCGAUGAUCAGUAGCCGGUCGGAGAGGGUGGACGGCCACAUUGGGACUGAGACACGGCCCAGACUCCUACGGGAGGCAGCAGUGGGGAAUCUUCCGCAAUGGACGAAAGUCUGACGGAGCAACGCCGCGGGAGUGAUGACGGCCUUCGGGUUGUAAAGCUCUGUUAAUCGGGACGAAAGGCCUUUUUGCGAAUAGUGAGAAGGAUUGACGGUACCGGAAUAGAAAGCCACGGCUAACUACGUG